rnacentral:rRNA from 1 species
UACGUAGGGUGCGAGCGUUGUCCGGAUUUAUUGGGCGUAAAGAGCGUGUAGGCGGCUAGGUAGGUCGGUUGUGAAAACUGGAGGCUUAACCUUCAGACGUCGACCGAAACCAUCUGGCUAGAGUCCGGAAGAGGAGAGUGGAAUUCCUGGUGUAGCGGUGAAAUGCGCAGAUAUCAGGAAGAACACCCGUGGCGAAGGCGGCUCUCUGGGACGGUACUGACGCUGAGACGCGAAAGCGUGGGUAGCAAACAGG